GGAAAACAUAAUGAUAUGUACUCCGGCGAGAAAUGCUUUGCGGGGAUGGAGAAGGCGCUGAACUUUGCUGAUGAUCAGGUGCUGAGGGCGUAUGGGUUCCGGCAUGCGGGGCUGAUGAAUACGUCCGCGGUCCAGCCGCUGCCGUUCGACUUCCCCGGCGGCGAUGCUUGAUGGCGGCGAGUUUUUUUGUUUAUUCACUUUAGUAGCUCAGUUUAGGUGUGUUUUAAGUUUCCCCCUGUUUUCAGAGAAGUUGCAAUCCAGAUAUUGUGUG
rnacentral:misc_RNA from 1 species